rnacentral:rRNA from 2 species
UUCUGACGUGCAAAUCGAUAAUCUGAUCUGGGUAUAGGGGCGAAAGACUAAUCGAACCAUCUAGUAGCUGGUUCCUUCCGAAGUUUCCCUCAGGAUAGCAAGCGUACAUUUUUAGUUUCAUCCCGUAAAGCGAAUGAUUAGAGGCCUUGGGGCGUAUAUAGCCUCAACCUAUUCUCAAACUUUUAAUGGGUGUGAGUGUUCUUUCUCAAUUGAAGAACGCUGCUAAAUAAGUAUGCUUAGUGGGCCAUUUUUGGUAAGCAGAACUGGCGCUGUGGGUUGAACCAAUUGUUGAGUUAAAGUGCCUAAAGCUGGAAUGCGCAUGAGAUCUAUAAAGGGUGUUAGUUGCUGAAGACAGCAGGACGGUGGCCAUGGAAGUCGGAAUCCGCUAAGGAGUGUGUAACAACUCACCUGCC